rnacentral:rRNA from 1 species
AGUGAACGCUGGCGGUAGGCCUAACACAUGCAAGUCGAACGGCAGCACAGGAGAGCUUGCUCUCUGGGUGGCGAGUGGCGGACGGGUGAGGAAUACAUCGGAGUCUACCUUUUCGUGGGGGAUAACGUAGGGAAACUUACGCUAAUACCGCAUACGACCUACGGGUGAAAGUGGGGGACCGCAAGGCCUCACGCGAUUAGAUGAGCCGAUGUCCGAUUAGCUAGUUGGCGGGGUAAUGGCCCACCAAGGCGACGAUCGGUAGCUGGUCUGAGAGGAUGAUCAGCCACACUGGAACUGAGACACGGUCCAGACUCCUACGGGAGGCAGCAGUGGGGAAUAUUGGACAAUGGGCGCAAGCCUGAUCCAGCCAUACCGCGUGGGUGAAGAAGGCCUUCGGGUUGUAAAGCCCUUUUGUUGGGAAAGAAAUCCUGUCGAUUAAUACUCGGUGGGGAUGACGGUACCCAAAGAAUAAGCACCGGCUAACUUCGUG